rnacentral:misc_RNA from 1 species
UUCUGCAGCUAAGCACGGAGACCUUGCACAGGACUAUAAACAGUGCAAGUUGGCUUUGGCCAGCAACACAAUCGAAUUGCGGGGACGUCUUAGAGCCUGUAGCACCUCCCGUUAGUGAAAGCUAACGGCACGGUAAGAGUCUACAGGAUGUACAAUAGACCAUCCGCAGCGAAGACCCUAAGGCGUAUGCUACGGGUAUCGUCCACAGACUAAGUGAUUGUGGGAGGGCUACCCUUCUAAGAUAUAGUCG